CGUGGGGGCGUGCUAAUACAUGCAAGUCGAGCGGACAGAUGGGAGCUUGCUCCCUGAUGUUAGCGGCGGACGGGUGAGUAACACGUGGGUAACCUGCCUGUAAGACUGGGAUAACUCCGGGAAACCGGGGCUAAUACCGGAUGGUUGUCUGAACCGCAUGGUUCAGACAUAAAAGGUGGCUUCGGCUACCACUUACAGAUGGACCCGCGGCGCAUUAGCUAGUUGGUGAGGUAACGGCUCACCAAGGCGACGAUGCGUAGCCGACCUGAGAGGGUGAUCGGCCACACUGGGACUGAGACACGGCCCAGACUCCUACGGGAGGCAGCAGUAGGGAAUCUUCCGCAAUGGACGAAAGUCUGACGGAGCAACGCCGCGUGAGUGAUGAAGGUUUUCGGAUCGUAAAGCUCUGUUGUUAGGGAAGAACAAGUGCCGUUCAAAUAGGGCGGCACCUUGACGGUACCUAACCAGAAAGCCACGGCUAACUACGUGCCAGCAGCCGCGGUAAUACGUAGGUGGCAAGCGUUGUCCGGAAUUAUUGGGCGUAAAGGGCUCGCAGGCGGUUUCUUAAGUCUGAUGUGAAAGCCCCCGGCUCAACCGGGGAGGGUCAUUGGAAACUGGGGAACUUGAGUGCAGAAGAGGAGAGUGGAAUUCCACGUGUAGCGGUGAAAUGCGUAGAGAUGUGGAGGAACACCAGUGGCGAAGGCGACUCUCUGGUCUGUAACUGACGCUGAGGAGCGAAAGCGUGGGGAGCGAACAGGAUUAGAUACCCUGGUAGUCCACGCCGUAAACGAUGAGUGCUA
rnacentral:rRNA from 1 species